rnacentral:rRNA from 1 species
UCCAGACUCCUACGGGAGGCAGCAGUGGGGAAUAUUGCACAAUGGGGGAAACCCUGAUGCAGCGACGCCGCGUGAGUGAAGAAGUAUUUCGGUAUGUAAAGCUCUAUCAGCAGGGAAGAAAAUGACGGUACCUGACUAAGAAGCCCCGGCUAACUACGUGCCAGCAGCCGCGGUAAUACGUAGGGGGCGAGCGUUAUCCGGAUUCACUGGGUGUAAAGGGAGCGUAGACGGCCGUGCAAGCCAGGAGUGAAAGCCCGGGGCCCAACCCCGGGACUGCUCUUGGAACUGUGCGGCUGGAGUGCGGGAGGGGCAGGCGGAAUUCCUGGUGUAGCGGUGAAAUGCGUAGAUAUCAGGAGGAACACCAGCGGCGAAGGCGGCCUGCUGGACCGCGACUGACGUUGAGGCUCGAAAGCGUGGGGAGCGAACAGGAUUAGAUACCCUAGUAAAA